AUGAACGCUAGCUACAGGCUUAACACAUGCAAGUCGAGGGGCAGCAUGAGCUUAGCUUGCUAAGCUUGAUGGCGACCGGCGCACGGGUGAGUAACACGUAUCCAACCUCCCGCUUACUCAGGAAUAGCCUUUCGAAAGAAAGAUUAAUGCCUGAUGGUAUCUUAAGCACACAUGUAAUUAAGAUUAAAGAUUUAUCGGUAAGCGAUGGGGAUGCGUUCCAUUAGGUAGUAGGCGGGGUAACGGCCCACCUAGCCGACGAUGGAUAGGGGUUCUGAGAGGAAGGUCCCCCACAUUGGAACUGAGACACGGUCCAAACUCCUACGGGAGGCAGCAGUGAGGAAUAUUGGUCAAUGGGCGCGAGCCUGAACCAGCCAAGUAGCGUGAAGGAUGAAGGUCCUACGGAUUGUAAACUUCUUUUAUACGGGAAUAAAGUGGCCUACGUGUAGGCUUUUGCAUGUACCGUAUGAAUAAGCAUCGGCUAACUCCGUGCCAGCAGCCGCGGUAAUACGGAGGAUGCGAGCGUUAUCCGGAUUUAUUGGGUUUAAAGGGAGCGUAGACGGGGGAUUAAGUCAGUUGUGAAAGUUUGCGGCUCAACCGUAAAAUUGCAGUUGAUACUGGUUCCCUUGAGUGCAGUUGAGGCAGGCGGAAUUCGUGGUGUAGCGGUGAAAUGCAUAGAUAUCACGAAGAACCCCGAUUGCGAAGGCAGCCUGCUAAGCUGUAACUGACGUUGAGGCUCGAAAGUGUGGGUAUCAAACAGGAUUAGAUACCCUGGUAGUCCACACUGUAAACGAUGAUAACUAGGUGUGGGGGGUCUGACCCCUUCCGUGCCGCAGCUAACGCAAUAAGUUAUCCACCUGGGGAGUACGACCGCAAGGUUGAAACUCAAAGGAAUUGACGGGGACCCGCACAAGCAGUGGAUUAUGUGGUUUAAUUCGAAGCAACGCGAAGAACCUUACCAGGUCUUGACAUCCUUCUGACCGCACCUUAAUCGGUGCUUUCCUUCGGGACAGAAGAGACAGGUGGUGCAUGGUUGUCGUCAGCUCGUGUCGUGAGAUGUUGGGUUAAGUCCCGCAACGAGCGCAACCCUCGUGGCCAGUUACUAUCAGGUAAGGCUGAGGACUCUGGCCAGACUGCCAUCGUAAGAUGCGAGGAAGGUGGGGAUGACGUCAAAUCAGCACGGCCCUUACGUCCGGGGCUACACACGUGUUACAAUGGGAGGUACAGAAGGCAGCUACCCGGCGACGGGAUGCCAAUCCCGAAAGCCUCUCUCAGUUCGGACUGGAGUCUGCAACCCGACUCCACGAAGCUGGAUUCGCUAGUAAUCGCGCAUCAGCCACGGCGCGGUGAAUACGUUCCCGGGCCUUGUACACACCGCCCGUCAAGCCAUGAAAGCCGGGGGUACCUGAAGUGCGUAACCGCAAGGAGCGCCCUAGGGUAAAACCGGUAAUUGGGGCU
rnacentral:rRNA from 1 species